AUUGAACGCUGGCGGCAGGCUUAACACAUGCAAGUCGAGCGGAGAUGAGGUGCUUGCACCUUAUCUUAGCGGCGGACGGGUGAGUAAUGCUUAGGAAUCUGCCUAUUAGUGGGGGACAACAUUCCGAAAGGAAUGCUAAUACCGCAUACGCCCUACGGGGGAAAGCAGGGGAUCUUCGGACCUUGCGCUAAUAGAUGAGCCGAAGUCGGAUUAGCUAGUUGGUGGGGUAGAGGCCUACCAAGGCGACGAUCUGUAGCGGGUCUGAGAGGAUGAUCCGCCACACUGGGACUGAGACACGGCCCAGACUCCUACGGGAGGCAGCAGUGGGGAAUAUUGGACAAUGGGCGGAAGCCUGAUCCAGCCAUGCCGCGUGUGUGAAGAAGGCCUUUUGGUUGUAAAGCACUUUAAGCGAGGAGGAGGCUACCUGGAUUAAUACUCUAGGAUAGUGGACGUUACUCGCAGAAUAAGCACCGGCUAACUCUGUGCCAGCAGCCGCGGUAACAC
rnacentral:rRNA from 1 species